UGUAAAGAAAGUUUCCACUGUGACGUUAAUUAACAAGCCUUGUAUUUUCUCUGCGGAGGCGUCAGCAAUGGGGUCAGGGACGAAUACCUCUGCUCCACUGCAGUCAAGGGUCUGAAAAUAUUGACUGUUAAAAUCCUCUGCUCUUAAACUGGAUGGGCUGCUGGUGUUAGUUUAGUUGCUGGUGUUAGUUUAACUGGUGGUGGUGUUAGUUUAGCUGGUGGUGGUGUUAGUUUAGCUGGUGGUGGUGUUAGUUUAGCUGGUGGUGGUGUUAGUUUAGCUGGUGGUGGUGUUAGUUUAGCUGGUGGUGGUGUUAGUUUAGCUGGUGGUGGUGUUAGUUUAGCUGGUGGUGGUGUUAGUUUAGCUGGUGGUGGUGUUAGUUUAGCUGGUGGUGUUAGUUUAGCUGGUGGUGUUAGUUUAGCUGGUGGUGGUGUUAGUUUAGCUGGUGGUGGUGUUAGUUUAGCUGGUGGUGGUGUUAGUUUAGCUGGUGGUGGUGUUAGUUUAGCUGGUGGUGGUGUUAGUUUAGCUGGUGGUGGUGUUAGUUUAGCUGGUGGUGUCAGUUUAGUUGGUGGUGGUGUUAGUUUAACUGGUGGUGGUGUUAGUUUAGCUGGUGGUGGUGUUAGUUUAACUGGUGGUGGUGUUAGUUUAGCUGGUGGUGUUAGUUUAGCUGGUGGUGUUAGUUUAGCUGGUGGUGUUAGUUUAACUGGUGUUAGUUUAGCUGGUGGUGGUGUUAGUUUAGCUGCUGGUGGUGUUAGUUUAGCUGGUGGUGUUAGUUUAACUGGUGGUGGUGUUAGUUUAGCUGGUGGUGUUAGUUUAGCUGGUGGUGUUAGUUUAGCUGGUGGUGUUAGUUUAACUGGUGUUAGUUUAGCUGGUGGUGGUGUUAGUUUAGCUGGUGGUGGUGUUAGUUUAGCUGGUGGUGGUGUUAGUUUAGCUGGUGGUGGUGUUAGUUUAACUGGUGGUGGUGUUAGUUUAGCUGGUGGUGUUAGUUUAGCUGGUGGUGUUAGUUUAGCUGGUGGUGGUGUUAGUUUAGCUGGUGGUGUUAGUUUAGCUGGUGGUGUUAGUUUAGCUGGUGGUGGUGUUAGUUUAGCUGGUGGUGUUAGUUUAGCUGGUGGUGGUGUUAGUUUAGCUGCUGGUGGUGUUAGUUUAACUGGUGGUGGUGUUAGUUUAGCUGGUGGUGGUGUUAGUUUAGCUGGUGGUGUUAGUUUAGCUGGUGGUGGUGUUAGUUUAGCUGGUGGUGGUGUUAGUUUAACUGGUGGUGCAGUUUGUUUAGCUGGU
rnacentral:lncRNA from 1 species